rnacentral:lncRNA from 1 species
UUUUGCUUUAAAACAUCUUUGACUCCUGUUAAAUUUGCAUCAUAAGGGUCAAGCAGACAUUCAUCUUCUAUGCAUUGUGUAACUUGAUUUCCUGAUUUCUGGACUGGGCAAAGUAUUUCUGGAUGGUAAUGAUUUGCCUAAUCUCUAUAAAAGACAACAGAAGUACACUUCUAUGCUGCACACUAGCGUGCUGGUGCUUGCACAUCACUAAGAGAGGGAAGCAGACAAACUUCCAGCUGGAGAAGCCCCAGAUGUGCACAGGUGUCAUAAUCAGCAGCUACGCUGGGAUCCAUCUGAGGGAUGGUCUUGGCUCAGACUGUCACUGUGGCAGACCUGCCUGUUUUGGGUUUCAUUCAUCUGUUCAAUCCAUCUCUAUGCCUCUCCAGCAAGGAGGAUGUGAGGGA